UUGAGCCGGAUGAGAGGAAACUUUCACGUCCGAUUUUGAAGGGGGGAGACCUAUAGUAUAGGAGUAUAGGAUCCUAUCCCAAU
rfam:Ricinus communis cultivar Hale chloroplast, complete genome.